UACGAAGGGGGCUAGCGUUGUUCGGAUUUACUGGGCGUAAAGCGCACGUAGGCGGAUCGUUAAGUCGGAUGUGAAAGCCCUCGGCUCAACUGAGGAAGUGCACCCGAAACUGGCGAGCUUGAGUACGAAAGAGGAUCGCGGAAUUCCCGGUGUAGAGGUGAAAUUCGUAGAUAUCGGGAGGAACACCGUGGCGAGGACGGCGGACCUGCGGGUCCGAGUACACUGACG
rnacentral:rRNA from 1 species